rnacentral:rRNA from 1 species
AGGGCAUUCGGUGGAUGCCUUGGCGCUCAGAGGCGAUGAAGGACGUGGUACGCUGCGAUAAGACAUGGGGAGCUGCGAACAAGCUUUGAUCCGUGUAUCUCCGAAUGGGGAAACCCACCCGCAAGGGUAUCCCGCAAGGGAAGCGAACCCGGGGAACUGAAACAUCUAAGUACCCGGAGGAAAGGACAUCAACCGAGACUCCGUUAGUAGUGGCGAGCGAACGCGGACCAGGCCAGUGCCUGCUCAAUUUUAACCGGAACGACUUGGAACAGUCGGCCAUAGUGGGUGAUAGCCCCGUACGGAUAAGGGAUUGAGUGGGACUUGAGUAAGGCGGGACACGUGAAAUCCUGUCUGAACAUGGGGGGACCACCCUCCAAGCCUAAGUACUCCUGAGCGACCGAUAGUGCACAAGUACCGUGAGGGAAAGGUGAAAAGCACCCCGACAAGGGGAGUGAAACAGAUCCUGAAACCGGAUGCCUACAAACAGUGGGAGCCUGAAAUGGUGACCGCGUACCUUUUGUAUAAUGGGUCAGCGAGUUGAUCUGCCGAGCAAGCUUAAGCCGUUAGGUGUAGGCGUAGCGAAAGCGAGUCUGAACAGGGCGUUCAGUUCGUCGGAUCAGACCCGAAACCGAGUGAUCUAGCCAUGGCCAGGUUGAAGGUGCGGUAACACGCACUGGAGGACCGAACGGGUGCCUGUUGAAAAAGUCUCCGAUGAGCUGUGGCUAGGGGUGAAAGGCCAAUCAAACUCGGAAAUAGCUGGUUCUCCGCGAAAGCUAUUUAGGUAGCGCGUUGGACGAAUACCGUGGGGGGUAGAGCACUACAUGGGCUAGGGGGACCUACAGUCCUACCGCACUCAAGUAAACUCCGAAUACCCACGAGUACUAUCCAGCAGACACACGGCGGGUGCUAACGUCCGUCGUGAAGAGGGCAACAACCCUGACCGCCAGCUAAGGCCCCUAAUUCGUGGCUAAGUGGGAAAGGAUGUGGGGAUCCCAAAACAACCAGGAUGUUGGCUUAGAAGCAGCCAUCAUUUAAAGAAAGCGUAACAGCUCACUGGUCUAAACAAGGGUUCCUGCGCCGAAGAUGUACCGGGGCUCAAGCCACGAGCCGAAGCUGCGGGUUGUACGGUUUGCACCGUGCAGCGGUAGCGGAGCGUUCUCUAAGCCGUUGAAGGGAGAUGCGUGAGCACUCCUGGAGGUAUGAGAAGUGCGAAUGCUGACAUGAGUAACGAUAAAGGGUGUGAGAGACACCCUCGCCGAAAGUCCGAGGGUUCCUGCGUAAAGUUAAUCUCCGCAGGGUUAGCCGGCCCCUAAGGCGAGGCCGAAAGGCGUAGUCGAUGGGAACCAUGUUAAUAUUCAUGGGCCAGCGGGUAGUGACGGAUCCAGUGUGUUGUACGGUCUUAUUGGAUUGAUCGUGCAGCGAAUGGGUUCCAGGAAAUAGCUCCCGCAUUAGACCGUACCCCAAACCGACACAGGUGGACUGGUAGAGUAUACCAAGGCGCUUGAGACAACUCUGCUGAAGGAACUCGGCAAAUUGCCUCCGUAACUUCGGGAUAAGGAGGCCCAAUGCUUGCGCAAGCAGGUGUUGGGGGCACAAGCCAGGGGGUGGCAACUGUUUAACAAAAACACAGGGCUCUGCGAAAUCAUGAAGAUGACGUAUAGGGUCUGACGCCUGCCCGGUGCCGGAAGGUUAAGAGGAGAGGUGCAAGCUUUGAAUCGAAGCCCCGGUAAACGGCGGCCGUAACUAUAACGGUCCUAAGGUAGCGAAAUUCCUUGUCGGGUAAGUUCCGACCUGCACGAAUGGCGUAAUGACUUCCCCGCUGUCUCCAGCAGAGGCUCAGUGAAAUUGAAUUCCCCGUGAAGAUGCGGGGUUCCUGCGGUCAGACGGAAAGACCCCGUGCACCUUUACUGCAACUUUGCGCUGGCAUUUGUGUCGGCAUGUGUAGGAUAGGUGGUAGGCUUUGAAGCUUGGGCGCCAGCUCGAGUGGAGCCAUCCUUGAAAUACCACCCUUAUCGACACGACUGUCUAACCGCGGCUCAACAGGGUCCGGGACAGCGCAUGGUGGGCAGUUUGACUGGGGCGGUCGCCUCCCAAAGAGUAACGGAGGCGCGCGAUGGUGGGCUCAGACCGGUCGGAAAUCGGUCGUUGAGUGCAAUGGCAUAAGCCUGCCUGACUGCGAGACUGACAAGUCGAGCAGAGACGAAAGUCGGCCAUAGUGAUCCGGUGGUCCCACGUGGACGGGCCAUCGCUCAACGGAUAAAAGGUACGCCGGGGAUAACAGGCUGAUACUGCCCAAGAGUCCAUAUCGACGGCAGUGUUUGGCACCUCGAUGUCGACUCAUCACAUCCUGGGGCUGGAGCAGGUCCCAAGGGUUCGGCUGUUCGCCGAUUAAAGUGGUACGUGAGUUGGGUUCAGAACGUCGUGAGACAGUUCGGUCCCUAUCUGCCGUGGGUGUACGAGACUUGAGAGGAUUUGUCCUUAGUACGAGAGGACCGGGAUGAACGUACCACUGGUGGACCUGUUGUCGUGCCAACGGCAGUGCAGGGUAGCUAUGUACGGACGGGAUAACCGCUGAAGGCAUCUAAGCGGGAAACCCACCUCAAAACAAGGUCUCGCAAAAUAGAGCCGUGGAAGACGACCACGUUGAUAGGCCGGGUGUGUAAGGGCAGUAAUGUCUUCAGCUUACCGGUACUAAUAGCUCGAUUGGCUUUAUC